rnacentral:rRNA from 1 species
GGGGGAUAUUGCACAAUGGGGGAAACCCUGAUGCAGCGACGCCGCGUGGAGGAAGAAGGUUUUCGGAUUGUAAACUCCUGUCGUUAGGGACGAUAAUGACGGUACCUAACAAGAAAGCACCGGCUAACUACGUGCCAGCAGCCGCGGUAAAACGUAGGGUGCAAGCGUUGUCCGGAAUUACUGGGUGUAAAGGGAGCGCAGGCGGACCGGCAAGUUGGAAGUGAAAUCCAUGGGCUCAACCCGUGAAUUGCUUUCAAAACUGCUGGCCUUGAGUAGUGCAGAGGUAGGUGGAAUUCCCGGUGUAGCGGUGGAAUGCGUAGAUAUCGGGAGGAACACCAGUGGCGAAGGCGACCUACUGGGCACCAACUGACGCUGAGGCUCGAAAGCAUGGGUAGCAAACAGGAUUAGAUACCCUGGUAGUCCAUGCCGUAAACGAUGAUUACUAGGUGUUGGAGGAUUGACCCCUUCAGUGCCGCAGUUAACACAAUAAGUAAUCCACCUGGGGAGUACGACCGCAAGGUUGAAACUCAAAGGAAUUGACGGGGGCCCGCACAAGCAGUGGAGUAUGUGGUUUAAUUCGAAGCAACGCGAAGAACCUUACCAGGUCUUGACAUCCGAUGCAUAGUGCAGAGAUGCAUGAAGUCCUUCGGGACAUCGAGACAGGUGGUGCAUGGUUGUCGUCAGCUCGUGUCGUGAGAUGUUGGGUUAAGUCCCGCAACGAGCGCAACCCUUAUUGCCAGUUACUACGCAAGAGGACUCUGGCGAGACUGCCGUUGACAAAACGGAGGAAGGUGGGGAUGACGUCAAAUCAUCAUGCCCUUUAUGACCUGGGCUACACACGUACUACAAUGGCGUUUAACAAAGAGAAGCAAGACCGCGAGGUGGAGUAAAACUCAGAAACAACGUCUCAGUUCAGAUUGCAGGCUGCAACUCGCCUGCAUGAAGUCGGAAUUGCUAGUAAUCGCGGAUCAGCAUGCCGCGGUGAAUACGUUCCCG